AGAUUAGCUACUUUGUUCAGACGCUUGGGGGUAUAUUAUUUUAUUAUGAUCGUAUAGUUAUAUGUAUUAGUGUUGACAUGCUACAGGUGUCGUUAUGGCAUACAAGCUACCGUGUCUCCAUUCACGCUAGGUGUCCUUAUGAGAUGAGCCACUGUGUUCAGACGCUUGGCGGUAUAUUAGUGUUGACGCUAAUGCUAAUAGGUGUUGUUAUGGCAUACAAGCUAGCGUGUCUCCGUCCACUAACGUGUUUACGUGCUACAGGUGUUGUCAUAGCAUACGAGCUAGCGUGUCUCUGUCCACGCUAGGUGUCGCAGGGGCCCAGCCGGUGCUGAGAGACGCCGAGGUGGAGGAGCUCCAGCGGCGGGAGCGCUCGGAGCAGAUCCAGGGCUACCGGCUGCUGCGGGACACGGUGCUGGAGCACCGCCGGCGGGAGGCGCAGAGCAGGACCGCCCUGAUCCAGGGGCAGCUGGAGAUGUACGACGGCAUGCAGGUCACCCUGCGCGACCAGCGGCAGAAGACCCAGGCGGCCCUCCAGGCGGUCAACGCCCGUCUGAUGGAGGCCGAGCUGGGGGACAAGGGAGAGGAGGGGGGCCUGGAGGAGCAGGCGGGAGCGGCUGCGUCCGUCUCGGCCGCCACGCAGCCCGCCAAGCCCAACAGCGCCGGCAAGAAGUGAAUGUGGGUCUGACGGCCACCGACCCUAGUGUAGGCUCUUCAGUUCAGCUAGUCCCCCCUGCAGUAUGGCCGUAGAAGCUUUGCGUUACAUUAGAAUGAGAUUUAUGACAAAAAAGGGUGCUGGUGCCUAGCAAGAAUUUUUUUCUUUUUUAGUGUUAGCCUUUUCAGCAAAACAUUCACUAUUGUUAUAGCUUCACAUAUUACUAGUUUGAACAUUCGAGAUGAGUUAUGACAGCCUGAUUUAUAUUUCCUGAUCCACGUCGUUACCUUAGAAAUUGUUACUAUUUAAGUAUGGCUAUAUAAUAGUAAGCUUUGAAUUCAGUCGUACAGAAGCGUUAUCUCACUGUUAUCUCACUGUUAUCUCAAUGUGAAAUGUUUCUUUUUGGCCUUUUGGGAUUCGGCUCCUCUCCUGUUCUCCUUCUCCUGGCUGAUGGACCGAUCAGUCAAACACAUGGAGAAAACAUGGGCCAUUCUCGCUAAUGGACCUCCCCCUCCCCGUCAUUAAAGUCCAUAUAAUGGUUUGGAAAACAUCACAUUUCCAUUUAUUUUAUUGUGGUUGCAUCAAUUCUUUUUCCACCAUGUGACCUUUGAUGAAUGGCUUUGACCUUUGGUGGCACAGGCGACCUGAUGGCAUGCCUCAUAUCAUAUCUCUCUCCUUAAGGUUGUGCUAUU
ensembl:lncRNA